AGUCGAGCGGUACAGGRRACUUGUCUCSGGUGACGAGCGGCGGACGGUUGAGUAUGUCUGGGAACUGCCUGAUGGAGGGGGAUAACUACUGGAAACGGUAGCUAAUACCGCAUGAUGUCGCAAGACAAAGUGGGGGACUUUCGGGCCUYCMCGCCAUCGGAUGUGCCCAGAUGGGAUUAGCUAGUAGGUGAGGUAAUGGCUCACCUAGGCGACGAUCCCUAGCUGGUCUGAGAGGAUGACCAGCCACACUGGAACUGAGACACGGUCCAGACUCCUACGGGAGGCAGCAGUGGGGAUAUUGCACAAUGGGCGCAAG
rnacentral:rRNA from 1 species